AAAUUGAAGAGUUUGAUCAUGGCUCAGAUUGAACGCUGGCGGCAGGCCUAACACAUGCAAGUCGAACGGUAACAGGAAGCAGCUUGCUGCUUCGCUGACGAGUGGCGGACGGGUGAGUAAUGUCUGGGAAACUGCCUGAUGGAGGGGGAUAACUACUGGAAACGGUAGCUAAUACCGCAUAAUGUCGCAAGACCAAAGAGGGGGACCUUCGGGCCUCUUGCCAUCGGAUGUGCCCAGAUGGGAUUAGCUUGUUGGUGGGGUAACGGCUCACCAAGGCGACGAUCCCUAGCUGGUCUGAGAGGAUGACCAGCCACACUGGAACUGAGA
rnacentral:rRNA from 2 species